GACGAACGCUGGCGGCGUGCCUAACACAUGCAAGUCGAGCGGAGGAUUCGAGAUGUUUACAUCGAAGGAUCCUUAGCGGCGGACGGGUGAGUAACACGUGGGUAACCUGCCUCAGAGUGGGGGAUAGCCUUUCGAAAGGAAGAUUAAUACCGCAUAAGAUUGUAGCGUCACAUGGCGCAGCAAGAAAAGGAGCAAUCCGCUUUGAGAUGGACCCGCGGCGCAUUAGCUAGUUGGUGAGGUAACGGCUCACCAAGGCCACGAUGCGUAGCCGACCUGAGAGGGUGAUCGGCCACAUUGGAACUGAGACACGGUCCAGACUCCUACGGGAGGCAGCAGUAGGGAAUAUUGCGCAAUGGGACGGAAAGUCCUGACGCAGCGACGCCGCGUGAGACGAUGAAGGUCUUCGGAUUCGUAAAGUCUACUGUACCUUGGGAAGGAAGGUACGUUCCGGAACUUGGACCGGUUACCCAAGGAACGGUAAACGCCCCGGGACUUAAACGUAACGUCCGGCCUAACGCCGAGGCCCGAC
rnacentral:rRNA from 1 species